rnacentral:lncRNA from 1 species
UUUAAAUUUUAUUACUCCUUUAUACCAGUAAGCAAAGUUGGAGAAUCUAUUCCCAAAAAUUUUUCAGGGAUGUGAAGUAGACACUUUUGUCUACCAUUAAGGCUUAGCUGGAGUCAGAAAGAAAGAUAUAAUUAGGGGUCACACAAGGUUUUUACCUGAUGCUUUUUGUUUUGUUUUUUGUCGUCGUUGUUUUGUUUUUGUUUUUGUUUUUUUGACCUUGAGGGAUUAAGGAAGAAGAAGGGGAAAAGAGAAGCAGAUGACAAGAGGCUCACAUGGGUGUCCCAAUUUACCUUCUCUGGACUUUGACUUGGAGAGGGUGCAAGUACAUUAGAGAGAACACUGAGAACAAGAGAGGAGACAUUGACUUUGCUUCCCAUUUAACACUGUGCAAGAGGCCACCUCUUGAAUUGCCCCCUGCCCUGAACUGUAGUAUAGCCAUGGCAACUGGACAGCUUGGUGUGGUUGGGCAGACGGAGGUAUCUUCGCCAGCUUGGGCUGCCGUAACAAAAUUCCAUAGAUUGGGUGAUUUAAACAACAGAAGUUAAUUUUCUCAAAGUUCUGGGGGCCAGGAAGUCCAAGAUCAAGGUGCUGGCUGAUACAAUUUCUGAUGAGAGCUCUCUUCCUGGCUUGCAGAUGGCCGCCUUGCUGUGUCCUCAUACGGUGGAGAGAGAGGGAAUGGCUUCCCUGGUGUCUCUUAUAAGGGCACUAAUUCUAUCAGAUUCUGGCUCCACCCUUAUGACCUCAUUUAACCUUAGUUAUCUCCUUAAAGGCCCUAUCUAUAAAUAUAGUUACAUUGAGGGUUAGGCUUUGUAUUAGUCUGUUCUCACGCUGCUAGUAAAGACAUACCUGAGACUGGGUAAUUUAUAAAGGAAAGAGGUUUAAUUGACUCACAGUUCCAUAUGGCUGGGGAGGCCUCACAAUCAUGGCAAAAGGGGAAUGAGGAGCAAAGUCACAUCUUACUAAUAGUGGCAGGCAAGACAGCUUGUUCAGGGGAAUUCCCGUUUAUAAAAACAUCAGAUCUCCUGAGACUACCACGAGAACAGUAUGGAGGAAACCACCCCCUUGAUUCAGUUAUCUCCAUCUGGCCCUGCCCUUGACACAUGGGGAUUACUAUAAUCCAGGGUGAGAUUUGGGUGGGGACACAGCCAAACCAAUCAGGCUUCAAUAUGUGACUUUUGGGGGUACAAAGUUCAGCCCAUAGCAAUUCAUUCCUUUGGAAUUUAGCAUCCUGGAGCUGCCCUGGGAUCCUGAAUGGUCUACGUCAACCCAGAGGUGGCUGAGGAUGUGGCUGAAGAGUUUCCUAGCAGGGGCCACCGUACCAGAGUGAGGUACCAGAUCUGCACCCGGCUUAAAAAUCCAGCAUGCACCCUGGAGAAUUGCUGGCACUUGGCAAAUAUUUAUUGAAACGAGCCGUUGGGCUGUAUCUUCUUUUUGCAUGUGUAAUAGGAAUAUGCCUUGUUCUCCAGCCUUCACAACUCACCCUUUCCUUGAACAUCCUCUGAAUAUCAGCCCCAGAUCUGUUGGAAGUCCGUUUGAGCCUUCAGUAAAUGCUGAUAUGUUCUCUUUUUCUUCGAGACGGAGUCUCGCUGUUGACGCCCAGGCUGGACUACUCUGGCGUGAUCUUUGCUCAUUGCAACCUCUGCCGCCUGGGUUCAAGUGAUUCUCCUGCCUCAGCCUCCUGAGUAGCUGGGACUACAGCAUCCCCGUUAGGAGCAUGAGGAAAAAGUCACAUUCUCAGGAUGGUGGAGAGAAAAGCUAGAAGGAGACUGGGUACCUGAUGUCCAUGGUGCUGCCCUGUUAGCUCUGGACUGCCUUUCUUCAUAUUCUCCAUUAAGAAAAACAAUCUCUGUCUUGACUGAGACACUUUUAUUUGUUUUUUUUUGUUUGUUUGUUUUUUGGUUCCCUGAAGUUGAAUUUAAUUCCCAACUGAUAUAACUAUGUUUAGUGCAAAGGCUCAACUGGGUAUGAUUGUCAUGAGAUCACUUCAGCCAAUAAACAGAAAUUAUGAGAA